rnacentral:rRNA from 1 species
AUGGAUUCCAGGGCCGCCCUCUUCUGCUUCCUGGCCGUCGCCUCCUCCCUCCUGCACCCCGCCAGAUCUGACGGGGACGACAACCAGCUCCUCAAGGGGAUCAACAGCUACAGAGCUUCGCUCAAGGUCCCGGCGCUCACCGAGAACAGCAAUGCCGACUGCCUGGCCGAGCAGCUAGCAAAGAAGUUCAAGGGCCAGGAGUGCACCAACACCACCGGAGCCAACACCGUGCCCGGCACCGAGCCGCAGUUCCCCGACUACCCCCAGUUUCUCGACCGCUGCCACCUCAACGCGUCGGUGACCGAGGACGGGCAGGUGAUGCCGGCAUGCGUGCCCGGCCUUGUGGCCGACAUUGUGCUGACCAACUACACCAAGUCCCAGCACAACCGGUUCCUCAACGACACCAAGUACUCCGGCAUCGGGAUCGCCAACGAGGGGGACUGGGUGGUCGUCGUCCUCAGCACCAGCACCGACUCCGGCGACUACUCCCCUGCUCCCCCGGGCUCCAACUGGGCUCCGUCGGUCCAGCCGUUCAGCUGGAUGAUUGUUUCGCUGGUAGGGUUCGUAGUUUUGCUGAUGAAGUGA